rnacentral:rRNA from 1 species
CCUACGGGGGGCAGCAGUGAGGAAUAUUGGUCAAUGGACGAGAGUCUGAACCAGCCAAGUAGCGUGAAGGAUGACUGCCCUAUGGGUUGUAAACUUCUUUUAUAUGGGAAUAAAACGUUCCACGUGUGGGAUUUUGUAUGUACCAUAUGAAUAAGGAUCGGCUAACUCCGUGCCAGCAGCCGCGGUAAUACGGAGGAUCCGAGCGUUAUCCGGAUUUAUUGGGUUUAAAGGGAGCGUAGGUGGAUUGUUAAGUUAGUUGUGAAAGUUUGCGGCUCAACCGUAAAAUUGCAGUUGAAACUGGCAGUCUUGAGUACAGUAGAGGUGGGCGGAAUGCGUGGUGUAGCGGUGAAAUGCUUAGAUAUCACGAAGAACUCCGAUUGCGAAGGCAGUUCACUGGACUGCAACUGACACUGAGGCUCGAAAGUGUGGGUAUCAAACAGGAUUAGAUACCCGGGUAGUC